AUUGAAAAACCGAUUGAAUUUUUCUGCCGAAUACCGAAAAAUGAAAUUAUUAACGACUCGUUUAAAAUAUAAGAUAUCGUAAUGGUAAUGAUAAACGGUGAAUAGAGAAGAGGCGAGCCUCGGGACUCGGAAGGAGAGGAAUAUCAGCGUGUGCCAACAAAAAUAGAUGUUGCAGUCAGUUGGUUGACGAAUGGAACGGUUAAGAUCGUCGUAACGUCGUACCGUGCCUGCACGAGGAUUCACCACCGGAUAAUCUUGAUCAGGAGUCGAUGAAGUUCAGCAAUCAAGCUGGAUUUGGGCUUGGACAGUAGAUAGCAGAUAGGAGACAUCAGCCAUGAGGCAUCGACACUUUUCUGACCCAUCCAGGAAUAGUCGCCCAUGUGGUAGCAGCCGUGGGACGCCUAUUUUCGAGUAAAGACUAAUUUGGCUUGGAGAGUUUGCCGUAAAAUCAACGCGCUGAAGAAGAAGAAGAAGAAGAAGAAGAAGAGUAAAAAGAGAGAUCGGUACAGGGGGCAACACACAGCGUGCUAGUAAAGUGUAAGCUUACACAUAUCGCAUCAGGGAGGGAGAGGAGUACGUGUGUUGCUUGCUGGUGCGACAAGAAGGCCAAUGGGAUCUGUGCGGCCAUUUUUAGAGGGCUUCAUCCGAAGAAGCUGUGCCUAACGACUUUGACGGCAUUCAGUCGAAAGCGGUCCAGUUGGGAAGGAGGAUCAUAGACCGAAGAAUCUUUGAGCACUCUCUUCUUCUUGGUCUGGGUAGCACCCAGACACUAUUAUUAUUUUUUAACUUAAUUGUAAAUUUUCAAGUCUUUUAUUCUCGACUUGGCUUAACUUUGUAUUUUUAUAAAUUCAUAUAUUCGUUUGGUUUUGACAAUAAAUGCUGUUGCUUCCUGGUACCGAAGGGGGCUGUCGAGAAGCUCUACUAGGUCACCUGGAAUUUAUGGGAAAGUCAAGUGCAACAGCUAUUUCGCAGAAGAGUGCUCAAGGAUUCACCGGCUCUGCUAUAAUUAAUUUUUUAUAAUUUUUUUAAUUAAUUAUUUGGUACAUUGGUGAUUUAAGAUAACAUUUUGUCUGUCAGUGAUUGUUGUAUUUAAGGACUAAGUAUUAAGUAUGUGUAUUGCUAUUAAAUAGGUAUUUUUAUUUAUUUUAUUAUUUUUAUUUGCAAUAAAGUU